AUGGUGUAUCAGCAGGUCAGUUAUAUGGUGUAUCAGCAGGUCAGUAAUAUGGUGUAUCAGCAGGUCAGUAAUAUGGUGUAUCAACAGGUCAGUAAUAUGGUGUAUCAGCAGGCCAGUAAUAUGGUGUAUCAGCAGGUCAGUAAUAUGGUGU